rnacentral:rRNA from 1 species
UACGAAGGGGGCUAGCGUUGCUCGGAUUUACUGGGCGUAAAGGGUGUGUAGGCGGUUUUUUAAGUUUGGUGUGAAAUCUCCCGGCUCAACCGGGAGGGUGCGCUGAAAACUGGAAGACUAGAGUGCGGGAUGGGAGAGUAGAAUUCCUGGUGUAGCGGUGAAAUGCUUAGAUAUCAGGAGGAAUACCGGUGGUGUAGACGGCUCUCUGGACCGCAACUGACGCUGAGACACGAAAGCGUGGGUAGCAAACAGG